UACGUAGGGACCAAGCGUUGUUCGGAUUUACUGGGCGUAAAGGGCGCGUAGGCGGCGUGUUAAGUCAGCUGUGAAAUCUCCAAGCUUAACUUGGAACGGUCAGCUGAUACUGAUGUGCUAGAGUGCAGAAAGGGCAAUCGGAAUUCUUGGUGUAGCGGUGAAAUGCGUAGAUAUCAAGAGGAACACCAGUGGCGAAGGCGGCCCGCUGGGCAGUGGCUGACGCUGAGGCGCGAAAGCGUGGGGAGCAAACAGG
rnacentral:rRNA from 1 species